GCCAGGCGUGGUGGCGCGUGCCUGUAGUCCCAGCUACUCAGGUGGCUGAGGCAGGAGAAUUGCUUGAACCCAGGAGGCCGAGGUCGCAGUGAGCCAAGAUUGUGUCACUGCACUCCAGCCUGGGUGACAGAGCGAGACUCUGUCUCAA
rfam:Gorilla gorilla gorilla genomic chromosome, chr14, whole genome shotgun sequence